GGCUCUGUGGCGCAAUGGAUAGCGCAUUGGCCUUCUAGUGUAUUGAAGGCAUUCAAAGGUUGUGGGUUCGAGUCCCACCAGAGUUG